rnacentral:rRNA from 1 species
CAAGUCGAGUGCGCGGUUGUAGCAAUACAACUGGCGCACAGCGCACGGGUGCGUAACACGUGGGCAAUCUGCCCUUCGAUGGGGAAUAACUCCGGGAAACCGAAGCUAAUUCCGCAUAACAUUCCUUGGACCUAGGUUCGAGGACUCAAAGCCGUAAGGCGUCGAAGGAGGAGCCCGCGCACGAUUAGCUAGUUGGUAGGGUAACGGCCUACCAAGGCUUUGAUCGUUAGCUGGUCUGAGAGGAUGGCCAGCCACACUGGAACUGAGACACGGUCCAGACUCCUACGGGAGGCAGCAGUGGGGAAUCUUGCACAAUGGGCGAAAGCCUGAUGCAGCGACGCCGCGUGGGGGAUGAAGCAUCUCGGUGUGUAAACCCCUUUCGACCCGGAAGAAUGCCUCGCAAGAGGACGGACGGUACGGGUAUAAGAAGCCCCGGCUAACUACGUGCCAGCAGCCGCGGUAAGACGUAGGGGGCCAGCGUUGUUCGGAAUUACUGGGUGUAAAGGGUUCGUAGGCGGUGCGGCAAGUUGGGAGUGAAAUCUCUGGGCUCAACCCAGAGGCUGCUUCCAAAACUGCUGUGCUUGAGUGUGGGAGAGGCGCGUGGAAUUGCAGGUGUAGCGGUGAAAUGCGUAGAUAUCUGCAGGAACACCCGUGGCGAAAGCGGCGCGCUGGACCACUACUGACGCUGAGGAACGAAAGCUAGGGGAGCAAACAGGAUUAGAUACCCUGAUAGUCCUAGCCCUAAACGAUCAGGACUUGGGGUGCCACCCGUUCGGGUGUCGUCCCGGAGCUAACGCGUUAAGUCCUGCACCUGGGGAGUACGGUC